GUGGGGAAUUUUGGACAAUGGGGGCAACCCUGAUCCAGCAAUGCCGCGUGCAGGAAGAAGGCCUUCGGGUUGUAAACUGCUUUUGUACGGAACGAAACGGUCCUGGUUAAUACCUGGGGCUAAUGACGGUACCGUAAGAAUAAGCACCGGCUAACUACGUGCCAGCAGCCGCGGUAAUACGUAGGGUACAAGCGUUAAUCGGAAUUACUGGGCGUAAAGCGUGCGCAGGCGGUUUUGUAAGACAGGCGUGAAAUCCCCGGGCUCAACCUGGGAAUGGCGCUUGUGACUGCAAGGCUGGAGUGCGGCAGAGGGGGAUGGAAUUCCGCGUGUAGCAGUGAAAUGCGUAGAUAUGCGGAGGAACACCGAUGGCGAAGGCAAUCCCCUGGGCCUGCACUGACGCUCAUGCACGAAAGCGUGGGGAGCAAACAGGAUUAGAUACCCCGGUAGUCC
rnacentral:rRNA from 1 species